rnacentral:lncRNA from 1 species
GCAUCGUUGGGCCGCCAUCGGUCAUCGGAGCCUAUAGUUGUCAUCGUCCGAUCGUCGGGUACCGCCCUUUCGAUUGUGGACGAUGUUGGCCAGAGAGGAGGAUCUCCCUUGCAGCCUUGCCUCAGGAAUAAGGGGACAAAGAGUCCCCUGUUUCGUUGAAGAAAAGAGAAGAGUCCUCUCUCCUCUGUUUUACCGUGGA